rnacentral:lncRNA from 1 species
GGAGCCAUUCAGACCAGUCCACCUGUCCAGCUGGAGAUUGAGUCUAUAAGAGAAGACACCUGUGAAAGGAUGCCUUGUUUCCAGAUGUAAACAGAGGAUAUCCCAUGAUCCUUGUUCUUCUUUUAUCUGUCCAUUGGAUCUACUUUAGCACAUGUCCCCAGGCUAGCUAUAGAACUUGAUCCUGCCAUUCAUCUUUGUGUAUAGUCCCCUCCCCUGAGAAUUCCUAGUAGAUUAUUCUGAGUCAGGUCCCUUUUAAGGUUGGUAAAUACUUCAACUCAAGAACUAAGAAAGCCAGAAAAGGAAAGGACUAGCCUCACAUCUAUCUAGACUGGGAAAAUUUGAAAUCAGUUUUAUGAGAAUUAAUAUAACUUAAUUAUCUGCUCUUUUGGAGAUUUACAAUUGUCCAAAAAGUUUUUCUACGUUAAUAAGUAAAUUAGUCUAUGUAAAAUUACAGAAUGUAUUUUCUUUAACUUAACAUUAACUAAAGAAAGACUAUUAGAGCUUGGUAUUUUUUAUUUGAAAAUUUUUAUUUAAUUAAUUGAUUUAGAAUAUUUUCCAUGGUUACAUGAUUCAUGUUCUUUCCCUCCCCUCCUCCCACUUGGUAUUUCUUUAAAUCUUGUAGUUGUUUGUGUUUAACCUAAAUGUGAUUGAAAAUAUUCGCCAUUUGAGAUUAAAUUUUGUAGAUUGUAAUUGGAACCAAAUGGUUUACGAUGGCAAUAGCCCUGUGAGGUAGUAAAUUGCAGAUGGACUUCUGUCUAAAGGGAGUGAUUUGGCUUGCCCGGAUUUAAGAUUCUCCCAGAUGGCUCCCUUUCAUAUGAAAUUUCAGUUUUCCACCUGGUAUAUUCCAUACAUAGCUGUGCAUUAUUGCCAAUCUCCAUUUGGCAUUGAUAUAUCAAGAUAGGAAGGCACUUCCCCCUUAUUUUAUCUAUAUCCCUCUUUUCUCUUUUAAUGGCAAGGUGAUAAGUAAAUGCUGAAACACAUAGGAACUAAAGAUGCAGGAAUAUCCACUAUGGUACUCGGGAUUUUGGACUCCAUUAGAAGAAUUUGGGCAGCCAAAUAUAGCCUCCCAUAUGUGUGCCUCUUGCCCAACCUGCCAGGAGAGCUACAGAGAACUCCGAAGAAGCCAUCAAUUAGUCCUGAUAAGCCAGUGAUCCCAGACAUGUCAACGGCUCUUGUAGGAGUAAUAAAUGUCAGUGCCAAAGUGAGGGAGAUGUCUCAGGAGAGAGUUGGAAGAGCCAACUGUUCAACAAAGUAUUGAGGCAAUGAGGGUGACUUGCCCAGCAUUACACAGCUGGGAAGUGUCUGAGGCAAGAUUUGAACCUGGGACCUCCUGUCUGUAGGCCUGGCUCUCAGUCCACUGAGAUACCCAGCUGCCCCCUGGGUGACUUAUUUAAUACAUUCUUAAAUUAGGAAACAGGGUCAUGUGAUUAUACAUCUUUUCACUCUCCAACCUGCUUUCACUACCUAAUAAAUAAUUAUAAAUUAAUAUGCA